CGUGAGGGCGGGGCGAUCGCUGGUUGCGCUUGCGUGACUGGAGGAAAGUCCGGGCUCCACAGGACAGGAUGGUCGAUAACGUCGACCGGCCGAGAGGUUAGGGAUAGUGCAACAGAGAAUAGACCGCCGAACGGUCGGCUGACUGAUUCAUUUCAGCUAGUCGAUGCGUGGUAAGGCUGAAACGGUGCGGUAAGAGCGCACCAGCGGCCAAGGUGACUUGGUCGGCUUGGUAAACCCCAUCCGGAGCUAGACCAAACAGAUUGCAGUGGCCGUGUUUCGAGAGAAACGGCGUUUCGCAAGAAGCGUGGGUCACACGGGGCUGUCCGCCGCGUUACGACAAUCGGGUAGGUUGCGAUUGAGGCGACGAGCAAUCGUCGUGCACAGAUAAAUGAUCGUCGGCGAAACUUCGGUUUCGUCACAGAACCCGGCUUACAUGCCCUCCGCAGC
rnacentral:RNase_P_RNA from 1 species